UACGGGGGGGAGCAAGCGUUGUUCGGAUUUACUGGGCGUAAAGGGCGCGUAGGCGGUCGUGACAAGUCACUUGUGAAAUCUCCGGGCUUAACUCGGAACGGUCAAGUGAUACUGUCGGACUAGAGUACAGAAGGGGCAACUGGAAUUCUCGGUGUAGCGGUGAAAUGCGUAGAUAUCGAGAGGAACACCGGUGGCGAAGGCGGGUCUCUGGGCAGUAACUGACGCUGAGGAGCGAAAGCGUGGGGAGCGAACAGG
rnacentral:rRNA from 1 species